UACAGAGGUGGCAAGCGUUGUUCGGAAUUACUGGGCGUAAAGGGCGCGUAGGCGGCCCUCUAAGUCAGACGUGAAAUCCCCCGGCUUAACCUGGGAACUGCGUCUGAUACUGGGAGGCUAGAGUGCGGGAGAGGGAUGCGGAAUUCCAGGUGUAGCGGUGAAAUGCGUAGAUAUCGGGAGGAAUACCGAUGGCGAAGGCAGGUCUCUGGGCUGACACUGACGCUCAUGCACGAAAGCGUGGGGAGCAAACAGG
rnacentral:rRNA from 1 species